UACGCAGGGGGCUAGCGUUGUUCGGAAUCACUGGGCGUAAAGCGCGCGUAGGCGGAUUGUUAAGUCGGGGGUGAAAUCCCGAGGCUCAACCUCGGAACUGCCUUCGAUACUGGCGAUCUUGAGUCCGGGAGAGGUGAGUGGAACUCCUAGUGUAGAGGUGAAAUUCGUAGAUAUUAGGAAGAACACCAGUGGCGAAGGCGGCUCACUGGCCCGGUACUGACGCUGAUGUGCGAAAGCGUGGGGAGCAAACAGG
rnacentral:rRNA from 1 species